AUUGAACGCUGGCGGCAUGCUUUACACAUGCAAGUCGAACGGUAACAGGCCGCAAGGUGCUGACGAGUGGCGAACGGGUGAGUAAUGCAUCGGAACGUGCCCAGUCGUGGGGGAUAACUGCUCGAAAGAGCAGCUAAUACCGCAUACGAUCUAUGGAUGAAAGCGGGGGACCGUAAGGCCUCGCGCGAUUGGAGCGGCCGAUGGCAGAUUAGGUAGUUGGUGGGGUAAAGGCUCACCAAGCCAACGAACUGUAGCUGGUCUGAGAGGACGACCAGCCACAGUGGGACUGGGACACGGCCCAGACUCCUACGGGAGGCAGCAGUGGGGAAUUUUGGACAAUGGGCGCAAGCCUGAUCCAGCAAUGCCGCGUGCAGGAAGAAGGCCUUCGGGUUGUAAACUGCUUUUGUACGGAACGAAACGGUCCUGGUUAAUACCUGGGGCUAAUGACGGUACCGUAAGAAUAAGCACCGGCUAACUAUGUGCCAGCAGCCGCAGUAAUAC
rnacentral:rRNA from 1 species